GGCGGAGGCAGAGGCAGCAGCAGCAGCGCUGGCUGCGAUGAAUGAUCCCCCAGCUGGGGGAGAGGACUCCAGGUGAGCCUCUGCCCUCUGGAGGGCCGGGACCCCCGGCCGCCCAGGACCUGCAGCCACCGCCAUGGAUCCCUAGAGGCGGGGGUGGAGGAGGAGGAGAAGACAGCCCUGCCGCCCACCCCCAUCCCAUUUUCCUCUUCCUUUAUCUCAUUGUUGCCAUAGCUGUUUACGGCAGCGCUCCUCUGCCCCAGCAUGGGGCGGGCUCCCGGCACUGCCAUUCGGCCGGCGCGGCUCCCGCGGCUGCCCGGGGGUUCUGCCUAAUUCUCUCUGCCCAGCCGGUGCAGCGGAGAGUGGAGGAGGCCCGGACUGCAGCAGCGGCGGGGCCACCUCCCAGCAUCCCCACCCUAGGAGGCUGCAUGCGGAUUGAAGAGCGGAGCCUGGGGGCUGGGCCGGCCCUGCUGAUACCUACCUAGGGGGGACCACCGGACUGCCCGGGCUGCGGAGGGGGCCGCGGGCCGGGAAAGAUAGAGGAGCAAGAUGGCCAGUAAAACCAAGGCCAGCGAGGCCCUGAAGGUGGUGGCCCGGUGCCGACCCCUCAGCCGGAAGGAGGACGCUGCUGGUCACGAGCAGAUUCUGACCAUGGAUGUGAAACUGGGCCAGGUGACCCUGCGGAACCCCCGCGCUGCCCUGGGGGAGCUGCCCAAGACCUUCACCUUUGAUGCCGUGUAUGAUGCCAGCUCCAAGCAGGCUGAUUUGUAUGAUGAAACUGUGAGGCCCCUGGUAGACUCGGUGCUUCAGGGUUUCAAUGGCACGGUGUUUGCCUAUGGCCAGACGGGCACUGGCAAGACCUACACCAUGCAAGGGACCUGGGUGGAACCAGAGCUUCGUGGGGUCAUCCCCAAUGCCUUUGAGCACAUCUUCACCCACAUCUCCCGCUCCCAAAACCAGCAGUACCUGGUCAGGGCUUCCUACCUGGAGAUCUACCAGGAGGAGAUUCGAGACCUGCUCUCCAAGGAGCCCGGCAAGAGGCUGGAGCUGAAGGAAAACCCGGAGACAGGUGUCUACAUCAAGGACCUCUCCUCCUUCGUCACCAAGAAUGUCAAGGAGAUCGAGCAUGUGAUGAAUCUGGGGAACCAGACCCGGGCGGUGGGUAGCACACACAUGAAUGAGGUCAGCUCCCGCUCCCAUGCCAUCUUCGUCAUCACUGUGGAGUGCAGUGAGCGUGGCUCUGAUGGCCAGGACCACAUCCGUGUGGGCAAGCUCAAUCUGGUGGACCUGGCUGGCAGUGAGCGGCAGAAUAAGGCAGGCCCCAACACAGCUGGGGGGACAGCCACACAGUCCACCGGGAUUGGCGGCGGUGGAGGGGGCGGUGGUGGUGGAGAGAGGCCUAAGGAAGCCUCCAAAAUCAACCUCUCGCUGUCUGCCCUGGGCAACGUGAUCGCUGCUCUGGCGGGCAACAGGAGCACCCAUAUUCCCUACCGGGACUCCAAGCUGACCCGGCUCCUCCAGGACUCUCUCGGGGGGAACGCCAAGACCAUCAUGGUGGCCACCCUGGGGCCAGCUUCUCACAGCUACGACGAGAGCCUCUCCACCCUGCGCUUUGCCAACCGGGCCAAGAACAUCAAGAACAAGCCCCGGGUGAACGAAGACCCCAAGGACACGCUGCUGCGGGAAUUCCAGGAGGAGAUCGCCCGCCUGAAGGCCCAGCUGGAGAAGAAAGGGAUGCUGGGGAAGCGGCUCCGGAGGAAGAGCAGCCGCAGGAAGAAGGCUGUGUCAGCCCCGGCCGGGUACCCCGAGGGGCCAGUGGUGGAGGCCUGGGUGGCCGAAGAGGAGGAUGAUAAUAACAACAACCACCGCCCGCCCCCGCCCAGCCUGGAGUCCACCUGGGACAAGAACAUGGAGAAUUACCUCCAGGAGCAGAAGGAGCGGCUGGAGGAGGAGAAGGCGGCCAUCCAGGAUGACCGCAGCCUGGUGAGCGAGGAGAAGCAGAAGCUGCUGGAGGAGAAGGAAAAGAUGCUGGAGGACCUGAGACGUGAGCAGCAGGCCACAGAGCUGCUCGCAGCCAAGUACAAGGCCAUGGAGAGCAAGCUGCUCAUUGGGGGCAGAAACAUCAUGGAUCACACCAACGAGCAACAAAAGAUGUUGGAGCUGAAGAGGCAGGAGAUUGCCGAGCAGAAACGCCGUGAGCGGGAAAUGCAGCAGGAGAUGAUGCUCAGAGAUGAGGAGACCAUGGAGCUCCGGGGCACCUACACGUCCCUGCAGCAGGAGGUGGAGGUCAAAACCAAGAAACUCAAGAAGCUCUACGCCAAGCUGCAGGCGGUGAAGGCAGAGAUCCAGGACCAGCAUGACGAGUACAUCCGUGUGCGGCAGGACCUGGAGGAGGCGCAGAAUGAGCAGACCCGGGAACUCAAGCUCAAGUACCUGAUCAUCGAGAACUUCAUCCCCCCUGAGGAGAAGAACAAGAUCAUGAACCGGCUUUUCCUGGACUGUGAGGAGGAGCAGUGGAAGUUCCAGCCCCUCGUGCCUGCCGGACUCAAUAACAGCCAAAUGAAGAAGCGGCCAACAUCUGCAGUGGGCUACAAGAGACCUAUCAGCCAGUAUGCUCGGGUUGCCAUGGCAAUGGGGUCCCACCCCAGGUACAGGGCUGAAAACAUAAUGUUUUUGGAGUUGGAUGUGUCCCCUCCGGCUGUUUUCGAGAUGGAAUUCUCUCACGACCAAGAACAAGAUCCCCGUGCACUACACAUGGAGAGGCUCAUGAGGUUGGACAGCUUUCUGGAAAGACCUUCCACGUCUAAAGUCCGAAAGUCCAGAUCCUGGUGCCAGAGUCCUCAGCGGCCUCCACCCUCCACCACACAUGCCUCGCUGGCCUCUGCUGCUCUGCGCCCUGCGACAGUGCUAGACCAUGAGUGACAACCUUCGGUCAGGCUGCCCAUCUGUCCGUCCUGGGAUGGGGCAGCCAGCCCUCCUCGAUCAUCUCAUCUGCCGCUGUGUGUGUGUGUGUGUGUGCACGUGUGUGUGAGUGUGUGUGUGUGUGUGUGUGUGAGAGAGAGAGAGGGUGAGAAUCUGGCAGACCAUGGCUCUGCCUGCUCUCCUUAGCCUCCUUUAUUUAAUUCAUGUUAUUUAUUCGUGGAGCUCAGUUAGUGUGGGAGAGAGGCCCUCGCCUGAGCCAGCCCUGGUCACUGCAUAGCCUCCUUUCCUGCUGACUUUAGAACCCCCACCCCGUCAGAUCUCAAGCUCCUCCCUGUCAGCUGUCCCCGGAAGGGAAGGUGGCCAGUGCCUGAUAAGAGAGGACUUUUUCUACCUGUCUCCGUCCAUAAUCUCCAUCUCCUCCUACGCUGACAGUAAGUGGCUCCCUCGCACUUUCUAGGACUAGAAAAAUGCUAGGUGUCCCCUGAGGAUAAGAGACAUCCUGACAGUGCUCCCUGCACUUCCUGGGCCUCAGACAAACUCAUGAGGCUUCUUGGGCUCCUUUUCAAGGACUUAAAAGACCUCACGGACACAGCCUGUGCUCUUCAGCUUCGGCAAGAAUUCAUGGCUUCCCAAACUCUGCUUCCUGCCCACCUUCCCAAGCCUUGGGUGGGGGUUGUAAACCAACCAGUUGUUGCCUCCUCAGGACCUGCAGGAAAUGGGAUAGUAAUGGAGACAACGUGGGCAGUUGAAGUCCCGCCUCCAGGCCCUUUGUUUCUAUCUCCCUUCGGGAAGUAACUUUGGUCAACAAACCAUCAAGGAACUCUCCAUGUUUGAGAUGUUGCUCCUUCUGGCUUCGAUCAUUUUCCCUGAAGCUGCCUGGAUCCCAGUUCCCAGUGGGAGGGAGCGAUGUCAUCCUCUCCCUGGCUAAACAAAGGAAAUGAACCCUUCUUACACAGUCAAGUUCCACUCUAAGGACCAAGCUAUGGUUUGGUUUCCAUCAAUGAUGCUGUCAUUACUGGACUAGAUGGCUGGGCAACUCAAUUGCCAGUUGCUGCUGUCCGUCAAGGAAAUAACAUUUUUCAUCAGAGCCCAGGAGAUUAUUUGAAACUCAGAUCAGAGGUCCGGCUGUGGCUGGGACAGGAGUUCUGUGUAGAAACCCCCCAGGUGGCCCCGGGCACAGAGGGACCUCUGGGCCUGCACUGAGCAGCGUCUCCCAGUGACCUCUUUCUUGUUUGUGAGCGAAGCAGCACGUGUCGGCCCCAUUCACCACUUGGACACAUCGACGCUGCGUUGUUUAGUCACUUGACCCUCACAGUCGUACAGCACAAUCUACCCAACUUCACCACCACCCCCCCGCCCCCCAGUCUGAGGGCUGGGCCCGAGGUGUGGUUGGAGGGGGAGCUCCUGCCUGCAGUUUUGUGUACGUGUGUGUGUUUGUGUGUGUGUUUAACUCCACAGGGGACACUCUACACUCAGUGUAAGAUAUGCUGGGAACAGGGCCACUGGGGUGGUUGGAGCUCAGUCUCUGUCUCUCUCUCUCUUCUUUUCCUUUUGCUGUAUCAGAAUGUGGUUGAUAAAGUAAGGGCCUGGAUUAAGACCAAAUUUCCACGUCCGUUGCUACGGUCUUAAUUUAAGACAACAGUUAACAAUGCAGUGGCCCAUAGAUUACAUAUGUAAUAUAUAAAUAUAUAUAUAAAACAUUACCCUCUGUCUCCUUGGCUUAGGACGAGGCCCCUCGGUUGAGCUGAAAUGCCCUGCAGCUCAGCGCUGCGAGCAGCCUGCAGGCCCCAGCCCUGUUCAAAUUAACACAGUCGAUAAUAAAGGAAUGAGUAUCGUUACA